AACUUUAACAAUGGAUCUCUAGGCUCUCACAUCGAUGAAGAACACAGUGAAAUGUGAUAAGUAAUGUGAAUUGCAGAAUUCAGUGAAUCAUCGAAUCUUGAACGCAUCUUGCGCCUUUGGUAUUCCAAAGGCACACCUGUUUGAGUGUCA
rnacentral:rRNA from 1 species